UGGUCAGGUUUCCAGGUGUAGGGCAAAAGCUUUGGCUGGUCAGGUGUCAGGUUUUAAUGUGAUGAGCAACUGUUGCUUUUCCUGGGUGUGUAAAUGUGUAGGGAACACACAAUAUCGGUGAAUGAAGGUAAUGCAAAAUGUAAUCUUAUCCCCCAAUGAGUUGCAGCUGGAACCAAUUACUGAAGAUUAGGAACAGGUCUGCUCUUAACAGGCCACACCUGUAGCCAAUAAGAACUAGUGGCAUAAAAGAGUGGAUUGGUGGGAACUGGAGUCAGAUGGCUGCUGCAAGGACUAGGAACAGUCAGUGCUUAGAGGAGCUGCCUGCGAGAAACAUUGAGGAGAGCUGAUCUGGUGUGGGCUGUUUGAGCAGCUCAGUGCUGACAGGGACCAAAUCCAGUGACCAGGACCGACCCUAUGGAGUCACCCUGGUGAAACAGCACAGAAUGCAGACAAUCCCCUGCACACAAGGAAACAGCCCCAGUGAUCACAGACUGAGUUUUCAUGUAGUUGGACUUGGUGGUGUGUGAGCAAAUGAAAGAGCAGCUUCAUGCCUUAUGAAAUAACAAAUAGUAAAUCAGCUACUAAUACAAUUCACAGAGGCUGCUAAAAGGCUGCUGGAGGUCACAAAAACAGCAACCUUUUGAGGUGAUGAGAUGGGAGCUUCUUAAGUCAACACAUGCAGUUGGCUUCUCCCUGGCAGUGCUCCACUGUGGGGCAGGAUCCAGGCUCUGAUGCCUUCCCCCUCUGGCAGAUGCUGUGAGUGUGUGAAUGUCCUCUCUAAUUCCAGAUUAGCCACAAAGAGGAGUCAUCAUCCUUAAGGAGCAGGCAUGCUUGGAAAGGAAAGGCUGUCUGGAGGCUGCAGGGCACAGCACUAUCCUCAGGUGCUUUGAGAUGUCUGAGCAAGGUUCCUAGCACUAAAGGAGGAGAGGGAAAAAAUGUGCUUUUCAUGCUGAGGGCUGCGUGCCACUGGAACUCAGCUUCCCUGCUAGCCCAGGAUUUCUCAAGCUUGGCUUAAUAAAAUCCAGAUCUCAUCUAAUGAGUUCAGAGGAUGCUUCAGAAUGUCUCAACGCGGAAAGUGCUGAUUUUGCACACCAAGCCAAGGAAGGUUUAUGGCACUAAAAGACUCUCCAAAGUCUUUAUCCUCCCUGACUUGAAGGAGAAAAAGCACCCUGGGCUGUUAGCAGCACCUCUGCUCCUCCUGCAGCACAUUGUGACUUGGCUUUUAUUGCAACUGUGCCUGUCCUCGUGUCACAACCUCUCUGCCAGUGCUCCAGCUCUGCCAUGGCAUUCCUGGGCAUUUCACCUGGGCCUGCCUUUGCCCAAAUCAAGGGAAUCAAACCCAUGGGCACUGCUUUAACCCACACAGGGGUGGCUUCUCUGCUUUCUUCUGGAUUUUUGUCUCUCUCGUGGUCACUCAGUUGUUGGCUUUAAAUGACAGUUUCUACGAAGAAUACAUCUGGAAAGGCAGAGUGGCAGCUCUGAGCUGUUAUAGCUGACCAUUAAAAGUGCAACAUCUCCUCCACCAUGCAGGGCUUUAGGUUCAAGCCUGCAGAGGAAAAGGAGUUACUUCCAAAGCCCUGAAUCCCUUUAAAUAAAUAUCAGCCAGCAUUUGCCUUGCAGUCAGCACGGGCUGAGGUGAACCAAGCAGUGGCAGCAAUGCU